rnacentral:rRNA from 1 species
GUAGUUAGCCGGGGCUUCUUCCCUGGGUACCGUCAUUUUUUCGUCCCCAAGGACAGAGGUUUACAACCCGAAAGCCUUCUUCCCUCACGCGGCGUUGCUGGGUCAGGGUUUCCCCCAUUGCCCAAUAUUCCCCACUGCUGCCUCCCGUAGGAGUUUGGACCGUGUCUCAGUUCCAAUGUGGCCGAUCACCCUCUCAGGUCGGCUACCCAUCGCUGACUUGGUGGGCCGUUACCUCACCAACUAUCUAAUGGGACGCGAGUCCACCUUACACCGGAUUGCUCCUUUGACCCCUACACCAUGCGGUGCUGUGGUCUUAUGCGGUAUUAGCACACCUUUCGGUGCGUUAUCCCCCUGUGUAAGACAGGUUCCUCACGCGUUACUCACCCGUCCGCCACUAAGCAUAUCCAAUAGCAAGCUACCAAAUAUGCCUCGUUCGACUUGCAUGUGUUAAGCACGCCGCCAGCGUUCGUCCUGAGCCAUGAUCAAACUCUGA